rnacentral:rRNA from 1 species
UACGUAGGGUGCGAGCGUUGUCCUGAAUUAUUGGGCGUAAAGAGCUCGUAGGCGGUGUGUCGCGUCGGCCGUGAAAACCUGGGGCUUAACUCUGGGCGUGCGGUCGAUACGGGCAUCACUAGAGUUCGGCAGGGGAGACUGGAAUUCCUGGUGUAGCGGUGAAAUGCGCAGAUAUCAGGAGGAACACCGGUGGCGAAGGCGGGUCUCUGGGCCGAUACUGACGCUGAGGAGCGAAAGCAUGGGUAGCGAACAGG